UACGUAGGGUGCAAGCGUUGUCCGGAAUUAUUGGGCGUAAAGAGCUCGUAGGCGGUUUGUCGCGUCGGAUGUGAAAAUCAGGGCUCAACCCUGGACCUGCAUUCGAUACGGGCAGACUAGAGUUCGGUAGGGGAGACUGGAAUUCCUGGUGUAGCGGUGAAAUGCGCAGAUAUCAGGAGGAACACCGGUGGCGAAGGCGGGUCUCUGGGCCGAAACUGACGCUGAGGAGCGAAAGCGUGGGGAGCAAACAGG
rnacentral:rRNA from 1 species